rnacentral:rRNA from 1 species
GACGAACGCUGGCGGCGUGCUUAACACAUGCAAGUCGAACGGAAAGGCCCUGCUUUUGUGGGGUGCUCGAGUGGCGAACGGGUGAGUAACACGUGAGUAACCUGCCCUUGACUUUGGGAUAACUUCAGGAAACUGGGGCUAAUACCGGAUAGGAGCUCCUGCUGCAUGGUGGGGGUUGGAAAGUUUCGGCGGUUGGGGAUGGACUCGCGGCUUAUCAGCUUGUUGGUGGGGUAGUGGCUUACCAAGGCUUUGACGGGUAGCCGGCCUGAGAGGGUGACCGGCCACAUUGGGACUGAGAUACGGCCCAGACUCCUACGGGAGGCAGCAGUGGGGAAUAUUGCACAAUGGGCGGAAGCCUGAUGCAGCAACGCCGCGUGCGGGAUGACAGCCUUCGGGUUGUAAACCGCUUUCGCCUGUGACGAAGCGUGAGUGACGGUAAUGGGUAAAGAAGCACCGGCUAACUACGUGCCAGCAGCCGCGGUGAUACGUAGGGUGCGAGCGUUGUCCGGAUUUAUUGGGCGUAAGGGGCUCGUAGGUGGUUGAUCGCGUCGGAAGUGUAAUCUUGGGGCUUAACCCUGAGCGUGCUUUCGAUACGGGUUGACUUGAGGAAGGUAGGGGAGAAUGGAAUUCCUGGUGGAGCGGUGGAAUGCGCAGAUAUCAGGAGGAACACCAGUGGCGAAGGCGGUUCUCUGGGCCUUUCCUGACGCUGAGGAGCGAAAGCGUGGGGAGCGAACAGGCUUAGAUACCCUGGUAGUCCACGCUGUAAACGGUGGGUACUAGGUGUGGGGUCCAUUCCACGGGUUCCGUGCCGUAGCUAACGCUUUAAGUACCCCGCCUGGGGAGUACGGCCGCAAGGCUAAAACUCAAAGGAAUUGACGGGGCCCCGCACAAGCGGCGGAGCAUGCGGAUUAAUUCGAUGCAACGCGUAGAACCUUACCUGGGUUUGACAUGGAUCGGGAGUGCUCAGAGAUGGGUGUGCCUCUUUCGGGGUCGGUUCACAGGUGGUGCAUGGCUGUCGUCAGCUCGUGUCGUGAGAUGUUGGGUUAAGUCCCGCAACGAGCGCAACCCUUGUUCACUGUUGCCAGCACGUUAUGGUGGGGACUCAGUGGAGACCGCCGGGGUCAACUCGGAGGAAGGUGGGGAUGACGUCAAGUCAUCAUGCCCCUUAUGUCCAGGGCUUCACGCAUGCUACAAUGGCUGGUACAGAGAGUGGCGAGCCUGUGAGGGUGAGCGAAUCUCGGAAAGCCGGUCUCAGUUCGGAUUGGGGUCUGCAACUCGACCUCAUGAAGUCGGAGUCGCUAGUAAUCGCAGAUCAGCAACGCUGCGGUGAAUACGUUCCCGGG